ACUGCUCAGUAACACGUGGAUAACCUGCCCAAGGGUCCGGGAUAACCCCGGGAAACUGGGGAUAAUACCGGAUGGAUCACUUAUGCUGGAAUGCUUGGUGGUCGAAAGGUGACGCCCUUGGAUGGGUCUGCGGCGGAUUAGGUUGACGCCGGCGUAACGUACCGGCGUGCCUGUAAUCCGUACGGGUUGUGGGAGCAAGAGCCCGGAGAUGGAUUCUGAGACACGAAUCCAGGCCCUACGGGGCGCAGCAGGCGCGAAAACUCUACAAUGCAGGCAACUGCGAUAGGGGGACAUCGAGUGGCAUCCACCUUGGGUGCCUGUCCCACCGUCUAAAAAACGGUGGUUAGCAAGGGCCGGGCAAGACCGGUGCCAGCCGCCGCGGUAAUACCGGCGGCUCGAGUGGUGGCCGAUAUUAUUGAGUCUAAAGGGUCCGUAGCCGGCUUUGCAAGUCCCCUGGGAAAUCCAGCGGCUUAACCGUUGGGCUUUCAUGGGAUACUACAUUGCUUGGGACUGGGAGAGGUAGGAGGUACUCGGGGGGUAGGGGUGAAAUCCUGUAAUCCCCCGGGGACCACCGGUGGCGAAGGCGUCCUACCAGAACAGGUCCGACGGUGAGGGACGAAAGCUAGGGGCACGAACCGGAUUAGAUACCCGGGUAGUCCUAGCCGUAAACGAUGCCCGCUAGGUGUCACGGCGGUCGUGAAUCGCCGUGGUGCCGUAGGGAAGCCGCGAAGCGGGCCACUUGGGAAGUACGGCCGCAAGGCUGAAACUUAAAGGAAUUGGCGGGGGAGCAC
rnacentral:rRNA from 1 species